UACGUAGGGUGCAAGCGUUGUCCGGAAUUAUUGGGCGUAAAGAGCUCGUAGGCGGUUUGUCGCGUCUGCUGUGAAAACUCGGGGCUUAACCCCGGGCCUGCAGUGGGUACGGGCAGACUAGAGUGCGGUAGGGGAGACUGGAAUUCCUGGUGUAGCGGUGAAAUGCGCAGAUAUCAGGAGGAACACCGAUGGCGAAGGCAGGUCUCUGGGCCGAUACUGACGCUGAGGAGCGAAAGCCAGGGGAGCGAACGGG
rnacentral:rRNA from 1 species